CGCCCUGGCACCUGGAGCAGGCAGGUGAGGCCGCUGCCGGGGUCCCCCGGAACCGAAGGGGACUCCUUGGGGGUCCUCGGGGACAAUCACAGAAAACGAUCCUCCGGAAGAAGGUGGACAGGAGGACUUCUUGGACAAACCCGGGGGUUCUUUCUGGAGGGACACCCCCGCCCCAGGUGUCCAGCGGAGCUUGCAGCGCUCCGGCCCCUGGGGAUCGAUCGGCGAGCUGGCGACGCGCCGCCGCGGCUCCGGAGCCACCGCCCCCUCCCCCGCCCCGGCUACGCAGGACGCGGCCUCGGUGCAGCGUCCUGGCGGUUGCGGGCCGCGGCCGGACCCGGCUCCAGGCCAGCCACGAAGGCGGAGACCGACCGGCUCCUUCCGAUCGCUCCGGCCUCGCCACUACAGGGUUGGCUGGGACGAAGAGGGGGAGGAGAGCGAGCCCAGCUUCCCCGGCCGCGGCGCUCGGCACCCCACCCCCGCUCCUCCUCCGUCGCCAACUACCCACUCCUGCGCGCGCUUAACCCUCAGCGCGCCGCGAGGCCGGGACGGGGGCGCGCACUGGGCUGGGGGGAGGGUGGGGUAGCAGUUACGCUUCGGCUGACUACUACUUCGGGGUGCGCCUGGAGAUUUUAAUUUUAUUCCGAGGUUUGCUGCAGCAGCUCUUGGUUGGAAAAAGGAAAGAAAGAAAUCUGCCGUGUGUGUGGGCCCCGCAGGGUUUGGGGGGCGCAACGAAAGCACCCGGGAGCAAAACGCAGGGGCAAGUGUGAGUGGGGAGAACCUCGUAGGCACAGGAGACCUGAGGGGAGUCCUUGGGCAAACGAACCCCAAAUGAAGAACACACAGCGCACAGAGGCCGUUUUGUGUGCUCGGCGGCGGCGGCAGGCGGUGGAAGCUACACCAAAGAUCAUAUUUGAAAUAUGGAUCCUGGGGGCGCCUAUCACCAGGCGGGCGGGAGCCCUGCGACCGAGCUUGGGAUCGGGGCUGAGUGGGCUUCUCCUAGCGAACCUGGGAAGCUGCCCUGACGUUGGGAGGGGGUGGACCAGCCGACGUCGUAGAAAACGACGCGUUCCGCUUUGGCGCCGGCGACCCCCGCGUACCGCAAUGCGGAGAUGCGGCCCUGCGGCGGUCAAUGUGGCCCCAAGGCUUGCCCCAAGGGGCCACGACCUUGCAGCGUGCCAGAUCCGUUCCCCGACCGUUCACCUUGCCUGGCCCUCCCACCUGGAACCCCAGCUCCAGCUGUAGCCGAGCGGCUCUCUGCAGACGGACGCGGGGGCGUCAGGGGCUUCACCACCGAAAUGAAAGCCGACCCUUGGCGGGCCGUGCCACAAAGAGCAGAAACAUGGGUGUGGGGCCUCAGAGGGCGGAGGGACGCCCUUAGAGACAAAGUCAUCCCUCGGAGAAGGUGCACGGGGCAGCCUUCCGGCUCCCACACAGCCUCCCUGCUCUCCUCACCGCCAUCAGUAACAACACCCCCACACACAUACACAGCCCCACCAGGCCAGCUCCCCCAAAGUCAGCGCUAAAAUGCAAAAUUACAUAUGCCAGAGCUGAAGUCAAAGACAAGUUCCCCUAUUAAGAACAGAAGAGAGAAAUGAACUCUAGUCAAUACCUGGGCAGAUUUUGUAGAUGUUGCUAGCAAAUUCUCCCUCAGCUACUCAAAAUCCACCUCGGGGGUUCUAAAAAGUCACACUAACUAGAGGGCUUUCUUAGUGGGGGACUAGCUGGGGAAGUCACAGGCAGCCCCUUCCGGGCAGAGCCCAGACCUGGGCUCCGUGGGCGGGUAGUGGCAUCUCCUGGCAGAGAGCGUCCAUUCAGAGAGUUUCUUUAAGAAGUCGUUUGUUUCCCUCAGUUGACAUGGGUCAGGCCCCUUGGGGAUCCGAAUUGUCAAUGACCACCCUCGGGUCCAGGGCCGUUAAAUUUUUCCAGGCUGCUCCAAGGUCUGCUCUUCCAGCCCUCUGCUCUCGGGGUGGGAGCCUGAGCUCCUCAAGAAAGCACCGCUCCUCUCUUGGGGCCCUUGAGGGCCCCUAGGGGCCCCAGCCCGAGGUGGCACCCAGAGGACUUCUGCCCUUCAGGGGAACCAAGCCCAUUCACAGCCCGGAGGACCUGAGCUUCGCCCCACAACCCGCCGGCAGAUGAGCGGUGGUCUAGGGCCGGUCUGCGAGACAAGGCUCCGGCUCGGGGAGUCGGCCUCUCUCCACGUUGGCCCACCCACCGCCAGGACGAAAGAAACAACCACGCGAGUUCCCGGGUUCGGCUUGCGUAUUUCGGUCACUUUUCAAGCCGGGAGCGGGGGCGGCCGGGGACUCCCGGGGCUUCCGAGGAGCUUCUGGGCGUCCCCUCCCGAAGUGUUGGGGAGACUGCGGCUGCUCGCACGGUCACACCGGCAGCUCCAGAAAAGACCCGCCGUGUUGGCCGGUGGGAGCCACCCAUCCUCCCCAGCUCGGCAGCAGAGCCAGCUCGGCUGCUGCGCAAAUUCGCCGUCGGGGCACAGGGUGCCAUCGCGUGGCCCCCGAGAUCCCGAGCGGGGGCCCCGGAGGGGCGCGGGCAGGGCGAGCUGAGCGGUUGCCCGCGGAGUCCGACGCCCCUGCCGGCGCGGAGGCCGUAGCGGCCGCUCGCCCUCCCUCGGCGCCCCCCUGCCCGGGACGCCUCGGAAACACCCAUUGGAAAAAAUUUUCGGGGGGUUUUCUAGUGAGGGGGCGGACGGAGUGUCGGGAAGCUCGGACCCUCCCUGGACGAAGGGACUGUCCUGGACGAGGUCGCUCCAGAUCUCCCGACAGACUGACAUUGCCGGCGGCGUGGCAGUUUGGUAGGCUCAGUUCGGAAGAGGGACUGUCGCGCUGACAGCGUUUCCUCCGCCAACUUCAGGGACCCUGCCCCUUCUACGGUCAAGUUGUCCCACACGAGUGCUCCUCGCCUUGGACACGAGGGUUAGGAAAAAGCUCAAAACCCAACAGGAGGAGGAAAACCUUUCCCUGCGUCCCUCUGCCAGCUUCUAUAAACCCAGAGAGCCCCCUUUCCCCAGUACUACAGGAAGGCUUCGCCCCCACCCAGGCAGGCGCGCCACCCAACACCUUCUGGGGAAAUCUUGUGUUUGUGCCUCAAGCUUGUCAGAGGGCAGUCGCUGCAGACCGAGCCCCUCUCUGGGGCAGCCAGAAAGGGAUCCCCGCGCCGCCCCCCAACCCCUCCAGGCUUUGGCAGCGGCCGCCAAGACAGCAGAAGCCGCCCAGACACGGGAGCUGAGAGGUGGUGGUGAAAUGGUGGAGUCCAUGUGUGCGUCCUGAAACACCAGACCAUUUCCAGGCUUCUCCUGGAUUCCUGGGAGAAAAGGAGCCCAAAGCGGACUUUGGGGGAUUCGCUUCCGCACCCCGCCCCUCCCCCCGCCCGCUCGAGCCCCGGCGCAGUCCCCACCCAGCAUUCCGGGACUUGUGUCAGGGCGGGAGCGGAGACCCGGAUGGCUCUUUGCCCGCCCCCCUCGCUCGUUCCACUCUCGCUCGGCUUUUGCUCCUUUCCUUUCUUCCACGGACGCUCAGCCAAGAGAUUGCGCAAGCUUCCUGCUGCCGGUCCUUCAAGGGCCCGGAGCCGGGGGCCCGGGAACACCCCCGGGUAGGCGCACCCCCGCCCCUGUCACUCGGGUCGCCCUGCCCCCUCCCCAGCACCCCCCCCUUCUCACUCCGACCCCACAGAGCUCGCGGCCCCGCGGGCGGCGCCCUCGGGAGGCCGCGUGGGGCGCAGCAGCUCCCCCAGCCGGACGCCGGAGCUGCACGCCGGAACGCGCCGUCUCGCCGCCGGAGGUGCUAAACUUCACACUCGGCGGCUUCUCUGGCCAGGUCGGGAGGGCCUCGGCUCGGCCGCGGCUGCCGGCCGGGGACCAAGGAGCGCGAAUUCGUAACCAGCGCUUGGCUCCUCGGCCAUUCCAUUCACCUCCCUUUCGUGCGGCCCCGCUGUGCCCUGUUCAGUUUCAACCCUUUCUUGGCCUUCCCUGCCUUCUCUUUUCGAAGCCCUUCCCGGGACCCCACCAAGUCCUCUCGGGCCCCCAAGUAGACCUGGACAUCCUCUUCGUCCUCUCUUUGUCCUCCCUGCCUCACGCCGUGUUGGCCGCGGGGUGGGGGUGGAGGGUUGCUGCUGGAAACCCGACCUCCCGCCCGCGCCCCGCCAAAGACAGUGCUGAGGGUAAAGUAGGAGCCCAGCAGGAUUCGGGGAGGGAUCGAGAACACUCUGGUAGGGUUCUUGAGCUCUAGGGCCCCAGGCUGGCUGCUCCUCUAUCCUCUUUCUCCUCUCGGCGCUCUUCUCCCUGGCGAUCCUUUGCACCCAGUCCUCUCUCUCCUCCCUAUUUCUCUUCCAUUCCUCGCCUUCCUAAAUGCCCUCAGCCUCCUGGGG
ensembl:lncRNA